rnacentral:rRNA from 1 species
GGGGAAUCUUAGACAAUGGGCGCAAGCCUGAUCUAGCCAUGCCGCGUGAGCGAUGAAGGCCUUAGGGUUGUAAAGCUCUUUCAGUGGGGAAGAUAAUGACUGUACCCACAGAAGAAGCCCCGGCUAACUCCGUGCCAGCAGCCGCGGUAAUACGGAGGGGGCUAGCGUUGUUCGGAAUUACUGGGCGUAAAGCGCACGUAGGCGGACCGGAAAGUCAGAGGUGAAAUCCCAGGGCUCAACCUUGGAACUGCCUUUGAAACUCCUGGUCUUGAGGUCGAGAGAGGUGAGUGGAAUUCCGAGUGUAGAGGUGAAAUUCGUAGAUAUUCGGAGGAACACCAGUGGCGAAGGCGGCUCACUGGCUCGAUACUGACGCUGAGGUGCGAAAGCGUGGGGAGCAAAC